GCCUGGGUGGCUCAGUCGGUUAAGCGUCCGGCUUCAACUCGGGUCAUGACGGUUUGUGGGUUCGAGCCCCGCAUCGGGCU
rnacentral:tRNA from 1 species